CUCACAGCAACGCUGGAUCCUCAACCCACUGAGCGAGGUCAGGGAUCGAACCCGCAACCUUGUGGCUCCUAGUCGGAUUCGUUAACCACUGAGCCACGACGGGAACUCCAAAAUUUGUAGUUUUUAAUCAAACCCUCAAUGUGUUCUGCUAUUUAAAAUAGAAAAAAAUCCUUGGUGGUCAGGGAGAGGAUGUGAGAGAGAAAGGGACGGAGGGAGGUCAGCGGGGGGAGAGAGAGAGAGCACGGAAAGUGAUUUCAUAACAGUUAUACAAGAAGUUGCUAGGAAACUAUUCACUCAAUUUGUGGAUGAUAAACAUUUUCUUCUUAAGCCCAAAUAAAUAGACCUCAUAUCAUUCCAGCCAUGAGAACACAGCUGUUUUUGUGUUGAGAAGGAGCGGGGUUGGGUGGUGUGUGUGUGUGUGUGUGUGUGUGUGUAGGGAGGGAUGGAGGGAUGGGGGAAGGGAGGACGGGUGAAGCCGAGAAGAGGCAUGUGACCUUCUUCCUGUCCUCGAGAAGGAGCUCAAAUGUCCCUGCAGCCUGCUUCUGCGGAUGCCCCAAGAGGAUGGUCCUGGACGGCAGUGAUGGGGGCCACAAGCCUCUGCUCCAUGGAACCUCUUCUGGGGAUGGUUGGGACGGAGCAUCAAACAGUAGUCUCCAGGCUCCUCUUCAGUGACCUUAGAAUGAACUCUGGCUAAGGACGCGGUGGCCGAGUCAUGACUGCCUGGCUGCUGAGUUCAAACAAUUGUUCAACCAACAGUUUUUGAGCACCACGAUGCGUCAGGCCCUUGAUCAGCGCUGGGACGACAGAAGAGCAUGAGCUGCACAUUUCCUGCUCUCCAGAGUGCCGACCCUUCCAAGGC
rnacentral:lncRNA from 1 species